GGGGAAUAUUGGACAAUGGGCGCAAGCCUGAUCCAGCCAUACCGCGUGGGUGAAGAAGGCCUUCGGGUUGUAAAGCCCUUUUGUUGGGAAAGAAAAGCAGCCGGUUAAUACCCGGUUGUUCUGACGGUACCCAAAGAAUAAGCACCGGCUAACUUCGUGCCAGCAGCCGCGGUAAUACGAAGGGUGCAAGCGUUACUCGGAAUUACUGGGCGUAAAGCGUGCGUAGGUGGUUGUUUAAGUCUGUCGUGAAAGCCCUGGGCUCAACCUGGGAAUGGCGAUGGAAACUGGGCGACUAGAGUGUGGCAGAGGGUAGUGGAAUUCCUGGUGUAGCAGUGAAAUGCGUAGAGAUCAGGAGGAACAUCCGUGGCGAAGGCGACUGCCUGGGCCAACACUGACACUGAGGCACGAAAGCGUGGGGAGCAAACA
rnacentral:rRNA from 1 species